GGAUCAUUAAAGAAGUUCAAUACUCCUUUCACCAUCGCGAAUCAUACCUUUGAGUAAACGAAGUUGCUUCGGCGGGCGGCCCCGGGGAGGGGCCGCGGCGGAAACGCGCCCGCCGGACGACGACAAACCUCUGAAUUUUAGGUCUCUCUGAGAACCAAACAAAUGAAUCAAAACUUUCAACAACGGAUCUCUUGGUUCGGGCAUCGAUGAAGAACGCAGCGAAAUGCGAUAAGUAAUGUGAAUUGCAGAACUCAGCGAAUCAUCGAAUCUUUGAACGCACAUUGCGCCCGGGAGUAUUCUCCCGGGCAUGCCUGUUCGAGCGUCAUUUCAACCCUCGCGCCCCGCGCGGUGUUGGGGCCCCGCGGCUGCCGCGGGCCCUGAAAUCCAGUGGCGGGCUCGCCAGGACCCCCAGCGCAGUAGCUUAAACCACGCUGGCGGCGUCCCGGUGCGUCCCUGCCGUGAAACCCCAUCUUUUACAAGGUUGACCUCGAAUCAGGUAGGAAUACCCGCUGAACUUAAGCAUAUCAAUAAGCGGAGGAAAAGAAACCAACAGGGAUUGCCCUAGUAACGGCGAGUGAAGCGGCAACAGCUCAAAUUUGAAAUCUGGCCUCGGCCCGAGUUGUAAUUUGCAGAGGAAGAUUCUGGCGCGGUGCCUUCUGAGUCCACUGGAACGUGGCGCCACAGAGGGUGAGAGCCCCGUAUAGUUGGACACCAAGCCUGUGUGAAUCUCCUUCGACGAGUCGAGUAGUUUGGGAAUGCUGCUCUAAAUGGGAGGUAAAUUCCUUCUAAAGCUAAAUAUUGGCCCGAGACCGAUAGCGCACAAGUAGAGUGAUCGAAAGAUGAAAAGCACUUUGAAAAGAGAGUCAAACAGCACGUGAAAUUGUUGAAAGGGAAGGAUUUGUGACCAGACUUGCGCCGUACGGAUCUCCCGGUGUUCUCACCGGUGCACUCCGUGCGGUUCAGGCCAGCGUCGGUUUCCGGCGGGGGACAAAAGCGGUGGGAACGUAGCUCCCUCGGGAGUGUUAUAGCCCGCCGCAGAAUAUCCCGCCGGGGACCGAGGACCGCG
rnacentral:misc_RNA from 1 species